ACCAGAGUACUAUGAAUGUUAAAGAUUUAAAACUCAAAGGACUUGGCGGUGUUUUAGACCACUUAGGGGAACCUGUCUCGUAAUCGAUAAUCCACGAUGUACCUGACCUUUUUUUGUUUUCAGUUUGUAUACCGUUGUCGUCAGGUAACUUUUUAGAAAUUAAGAGUUAGCAACAGAAAUUAUUAAUAAUUCGGUACGUCAAAUCAAGGUGCAGCUAAUAGAAAGGGGAGGAUGGGUUACAAUUAUAUGAAUUAUAGCGGAUAGAUAUGUGAAACUUGUAUUAGUUAUAAGGUGGACUUAAAAGUAAAUUAGAAUAUAUAGAUAAUUUGAAUGAGGCUCUGAAACGUGU
rnacentral:rRNA from 1 species